AAAAAUAAAAAUCAAAUAAAGAAAAAUAAAAGAGAAUUUUAGAAAUUAUUUUGGUUUUUUUUUUGGAUAAAAAAUGAAAUUAUUAUGAAUUUUAAAAGAAAAAGAAAUUAAAUAUUAUAAAAGAAAAAUAAUUAAAAUCAGAAAAAACACGGAGCGUUGGAUCACGCCUCAUUAGUUGACGUAACAGAUUCAACACUUCACAUGUUAGAGAACACGAUGGAAC
rnacentral:lncRNA from 1 species